rnacentral:rRNA from 1 species
UACGGAGGGUGCAAACGUUGCUCGGAAUCAUUGGGCGUAAAGCGCACGUAGGCGGUCCCUUAAGUCGGGUGUGGAAGCCCUCGGCUUAACCGAGGAAGUGCAUUCGAAACUGGGGGACUUGAAUACUGGAGAGGAUGGCGGAAUUCCCGGUGUAGAGGUGAAAUUCGUAGAUAUCGGGAGGAACACCAGCGGCGAAGGCGGCCAUCUGGACAGAUAUUGACGCUGAGGUGCGAAAGCGUGGGGAGCAAACAGG